rnacentral:rRNA from 1 species
AACGAACGCUGGCGGCAUGCCUAACACAUGCAAGUCGAACGAGACCUUCGGGUCUAGUGGCGCACGGGUGCGUAACGCGUGGGAACCUGCCCUUAGGUUCGGAAUAACUCCCCGAAAGGGGUGCUAAUACCGGAUAAUGUCUUCGGACCAAAGAUUUAUCGCCUUUGGAUGGGCCCGCGUUGGAUUAGCUAGUUGGUAGGGUAAAAGCCUACCAAGGCGACGAUCCAUAGCUGGUAUGAGAGGAUGAUCAGCCACACUGGGACUGAGACACGGCCCAGACUCCUACGGGAGGCAGCAGUGGGGAAUAUUGGACAAUGGGCGAAAGCCUGAUCCAGCAAUGCCGCGUGAGUGAUGAAGGCCUUAGGGUUGUAAAGCUCUUUUACCCGGGAUGAUAAUGACAGUACCGGGAGAAUAAGCUCCGGCUAACUACGUG